rnacentral:rRNA from 1 species
AUGGCCGCGGGAUUGUGCCAGCGCCGCGGUAAUACGUAGGGUCCGAGCGUUGUCCGGAAUUACUGGGCGUAAAGAGCUCGUAGGUGGUUUGUCGCGUUGUUCGUGAAAACUCACAGCUUAACUGUGGGCGUGCGGGCGAUACGGGCAGACUAGAGUACUGCAGGGGAGACUGGAAUUCCUGGUGUAGCGGUGGAAUGCGCAGAUAUCAGGAGGAACACCGGUGGCGAAGGCGGGUCUCUGGGCAGUWACUGACGCUGAGGAGCGAAAGCGUGGGGAGCGAACAGGAUUAGAUACCCUGGUAGUCCACGCCGUAAACGGUGGGUACUAGGUGUGGGUUUCCUUCCUUGGGAUCCGUGCCGUAGCUAACGCAUUAAGUACCCCGCCUGGGGAGUACGGCCGCAAGGCUAAAACUCAAAGGAAUUGACGG